CAAAAAUUUGUGAAAAUAAUGAAUGCAACACAGGGUUCCCUAAUGGUUGCAUCGACCAUGCAGAUGGUUCUUGGAUCCACUGGCGGUUGGCGCCAUGUAGUCAGGUUUUUGAGUCCUCUCUCUACUAUUCUCUUAGUUUCUCUAUCAGGUUUUGGCCUAUAUCGGUUCGGUUUUUCCAUGCUCGUAUGAUGUGUCGAGAUUGGACAACCUGAGCUUGUAGUACUACUGAUAUUCACGCAGGUUCAUUUGUAUUCUUACUUUUACUUAAUUUUUU